rnacentral:rRNA from 2 species
ACGCAAUCUCUACUCAAGUCUAAAUGACUCUCGGCAACGGAUAUCUCGGCUCUUGCAUCGAUGAAGAACGUAGCGAAAUGCGAUGCUUGGUGUGAAUUGCAGAAUCCCGCGAACCAUCAA